GCCGGGCCCCGGAUCCGAUCAUAAAAGGCUUCCACCCGCUUCCCUGAGCGAUCCUACGCUGAUCCCACUGAACCCCGCACCCCAGCCGCGCUCACCACCCCCACCCUCUUGCCUGGGCUGUUCUGACCUGGGGGUAUCUACCCUCAGUGCUGGAGUGUCCCCAGGCUUGGUUGGGGAAACCAGAUUCAACCCCACUGAAGUUGGAAAGAACAGCCCAGGUUGUGGGUAUGCACGUGUGGGAGCAAUGCAGGGCUGAGUCGGCCCAGAGGGCAUGGAACUGUGUGUAACAGCCUGGGCAAGAGGGAGAGCAGAGUGGGCAAUGCCAGAAAAAUAUAGGCAGUGCAACUCAACUCACACAUCAUGGGGCCGGUGGGGUGGCAGGGAAGUUCAGAGCUACCCAACAGGCGCUGACCCAAAGCCCAAAGUUCUAAGCAGGGCGGGAAAACAUGAAUCCGCUGGGUGUGGGGUAAGGGUGGAGGUUACACCUGAAUUCUGCCUUCACUGAACCCGGCACUAAUAGGCUACAGCUGCCAUUGGUUGGGGGCCUCAUGCAAACCGGCAGGUUGUCUGGCUUCCUCUCACAGCAUAAACAUCAUGGCUUUGGCAUUUCAGGUCUCUCUUGCAGCUUCCAGGAUCCUCUCCUGCCCUGUUGGUUCUGGGGACCUUGGGCCUCUCCCUAGUGAUUGAGCCUGGCCCCAGACAUGAACCCUCUGAGACUCCUUCACUUCUAGAGGCACCACCUCAGGCGCCACCAUCUCUGAACCACUGAUGUAUGCUUGGUUUUCUAAACAUUUAAUACACCACAGUUCUAGGGGGAGGAAUCCCCAGCAUCCAUUUUUCAGAUGAGCUGAAUUAUAGAGAGGUCAAGCAAAUUGUCCUCCUUCCGGUUACCCAACUGGGAAGUGGCAGAGUAGAACUUAAACCCAAGCAGCCUGGUUCUAGCCCAGAGUCCUUAAGGAUUGUACCGCAGAAUAGUUGUUCAUAGAAGUCCCCCUGCUUCUUCAAAAUAAAAUCAAAUUAGGCUGGAGGCAUUGAGGUCAGUGAGGACUCUUUUCAGGCUUUCUCUGGGAACCUGGCCUGAUGGGAGAUUUUAGUUACUAGAGGUCCUAGGUGACCAGAGGCUGGUGAAAUGCCAGCCUAUACACCCAACCCCUGUGGGCCAGGUCCACUGGGAGGCAGACUCGUCUCCAGGCUGGGAAGGGAUAAGCACCCCUGGUUGUCUAUCAUGUCUGUGUGUGCCAGCCAUAUAUACCUUCGUUCAGGGUUUAUGAGCCAUAGGAGGCCCAGGACCAGGGCUCAAGAUGCAGAAUGCAGGUGUUUGUCCCGAGACCUCAGGUCACUCCAUUUGUUGUUUCUCAGACAGGGUCUUCUUGCUCUGUUGCCCAAGCUGGGCAGAGGUGCAAUCAUGGCUCACUGCAGUCUCCACCUCCUAGGCUCAAGUGAUCCUCCCACCUCAGCCCUGAGUAGCUGGGACUACAGGUGUGUGUCACUAUGCCCAGCUACUUUUUUUUCUGUUUUUGUCUUGACAGUCUUGCUAUGUUGUCCAGACUGGUCUUAAACUCUGGGCCUCAAGCAAUCCUCCUGCCUUGGCCUCCCAAAGCACUAGAAAUACAGGUGGCCACUCCUUUUACUCUGACAUCCUCAUGGCUCUGGGCUGAAGAGAUGCAACCCUCUCCAAGCUAGCCUGGAUUCUACAGGCUGUGAAGCUCAGCUCAGUCUAGGGAGCUGGAGCUUGAGGGCUUAUAGUAAGUGAUGGGUCUGGGGUCUCCAAGAGGCAGCAGGCCCACCCGGGGCCUUCUGAUGCACAGUGAGGGUGGAGGCAGCAGCAAGGGAGUACUACCUCUACCUUGUACUGAAACUUCGAAAGAAACCAGACCACUAAAGCCUCCUAGCCCUGUGUGUAUGUGGCCAGGGCAGACUCCCCUUGCCUUGUACUUAUCAGGCCCUGACAAGCUUCCCAGUCUGUCCUGAGAUGAACGUGUUCUUUCAUGGUACCCAACUCCUCCUGACACCUCUGGACUCCUGAGGGGCCUUUACUGCAUCAAAGAACUUCUCCCUGCUGUCUUCCCAGCUCAUUCUACCACAAGGCCCUCAUGGGCCUGCGGGCUCUCACCUCACUGUGGGCAACAGCAGAGUUGAUUGUCUGUUCCAAAAACCAGAGUCCUCUGGAAAUCUGAACCCAGUCCCUUUCACCUUAUGAGGCAUGGCUUCCACAUCUUUUCACCUGACCACGUUAGUCUGCAACACUCGUUCAAAGCUCAGCAUUUGCCUUGAAAAAGUUACGAGUCACCUUUUUUUGUUUUCAGUAGAGAUGGGAUUUCACCAUGUUGGCCAGGCUGGUCUCAAACUCCUGACCUCAAGUGAUCCACCUGCCUUGGCCUCCCAAAGUGCUGGGAUUACAGGCAUGAGCCACCGCACCCGGCCACCUCCCAUCUCUUCUAAACAGUGAUUCUCAGUUAGUGUCCAUAGUCUCUUGCAAGAGGGGCAUUUUCCUUGAAUUACCUUCUCACCUAUUUAAUGCCCAGCUAAUUCAGAAGAGUCAAGACCAAAGUCCUUGGCACAUUUUGCCCCCAAUACUGCCCAACUAUCAAGCUUACCACUAUCAGAACUUGAUCCUGCAUUUUCUUUACAAUUUUAAAGGAAUGCAUCCAGAUUUGACAAAUUUCAGGAGUUGCCGAAAUAAAGGAGUCCACUGUUAACUCAGUUUAAAAACUGAGUGUCUGCAGUGAGAAGUUAACUGCAGUAAGUUACGUUGUGUUCACUAAGAAAAUACACAUUUCUUUCAGUUCUGAGGAGACAAAAGUUAAUUGUACUUCCCUGCAAAUUCGUAUGUGUAUGCUAAAAGAAUGUUUUCUCUAGGAGUGAGUGAUACGUGCUGCACUGCCUGAUGUACUGCCGUUAGGGAGGGAAAUGUAGAGGCUGAAGGUAAAUGGACUGUCUCUAGGCAGAAACUCACAGAUGGGAUGUGACACAUUCCUCCCUCAGCAAAGACAUCUUUAUGCAGGUCACUUUAGCUGGACAACAACAAAGUGUAGGGGAAAUCUGGAGUUUCCAGGGGAGGAAGACCAAACAUCAUUAAUGCUUACCUGUGUAGGUUAAAAUCUCUGCCUGACAUUCUCUCUAGCUCCACCUCCUACACCCACCACUAACAUUCAGCUAGAAGAAAAGGAGCUGCCAAAGGAGAUGAGGUGUCUUCACUGGCUGGGUCAGCAGAAAGAUGAAACAUGCACAGACGCAGACUCAGACUAAGUAUAUAUUUUAAUUUCUACAAGGUCCCUAAAUUUAACUGAAGUGUAUACAAAUUAGGCAUUGCUAAUAUGUACAAAAGUAUUUUAUACAGUUUUUGAACAAUACUAGCUAUUUGCAAUAAACAAGAUGUUACAAAACAGUCCAA